rnacentral:tRNA from 1 species
UCCGAUAUGGUGUAGUGGCCAACAUGAUGCCCUCUCAUCUCCGUGGGAGGUUAGGCAUAGCCCCGAGUUCGAUUCUCGGUUUCGGAA